rnacentral:rRNA from 1 species
CGAGACCUCAGGUCAGGCGGGGCUACCCGCUGAAUUUAAGCAUAUCAAUAAGCGGAGGAAAAGAACUAACAAGGAUUCCCUUAUAACGG